rnacentral:tRNA from 1 species
GAGAGAGAUAUGAUUAUAACGAUANACUGCUAAUUCUCGCCUUCUCGGUUUAAUUCCGAGGCUCACUCG